rnacentral:lncRNA from 1 species
AAUAGCUUGGUCAUCUUUGCCCCAGUGUGUCUGUUUCGUUGUGUCUGUGUGUCGGAGUUUGGGACUCUCAGUGGGGUGCACACUUCAAAGCAAUCAGGGGAACUCUACUACAACAACAACAACUGCUGGCUACUCCAAAUCAGUUUAAAUUCAAACUGGAUGUUCUGCUUUUUCCCUUUUUAAAUAACGUUGUGUGGAAACACAUUUUAUUGACUUAUUUCUAACCCGGCAAAAAAUAAAUAAAUAACCGUAAUAAAUACAAAAUAAAUAGUACAUUUAUCUGAUUCAUAGCAUAAUGUUUACAAAGGGGUUGUAAGAUAUUUCGUUUUUUCACAAUACAACAUUAGAUAAGGUAUGCUCGUCAUAUCAAGUCUCAUAGCUGUAUGUCACUGGGGUCUGAUGGGCUUGGAGUGGUCUUGUUCCAGUCAGCAAAUUUACCCUAAGCCAGAGAGGGGAUCUUCAGAGGAGGAGGUCUUCAUAGGAGGAGAUCUUUAGAGGAGGAGGUCUUCAUAGGAGGUCUUCAGAGGAGGUCUUCAGAGGAGGUCUUUAGAGGAGGUCUUCAGAGGAGGAGGUCUUCAGAGGAGGUCUUCAGAGGAGGUCUUCAGAGGAGGAGGUCUUCAUAGGAGGAGGUCUUCAGAGGAGGAGGUCUUCAGAGGAGGAGGUCUUCAUAGGAGGAGGUCUUCAGAGGAGGAGGUCUUCAGAGGAGGAGGUCUUCAUAGGAGGAGGUCUUUAGAGGAGGAGGUCUUCAUAGGAGGAGGUCUUCAUAGGAGGAGGUCUUCAUAGGAGGAGGUCUUCAUAGGAGGAGGUCUUCAUAGGAGCAGGUCUUCAUAGGAGCAGGUCUUCAGAAGACUGUCUGUUGGCCUAACAGUUGGUGGGAAAUUAAAAUGACCUGCCAGGAUCAAAGGCCAUAAGAAAGCAUGACAAGAAUUUCCCAGGAUACAUUUCAAGGGCGGACAGACGGGACAGUGUAAAUCAUAAAAAAACAACACCAGGUUUUCAUUUAGUCCUAUCAUCACUCAGAUAGACGGAUUUCAGCUCAAAAGUGAGAGGAAAAGAGAAGAAGAAAUGUUUAAUGUUUAAAGUUUAAUGGGCUUGGUAUGUGUUGCAUUAUGGAUAAUGACCAGUGAGGCGAGUGGGGGCCCUUCGAGCGCUGGGAGCUGAGCUCUCUCUCUCUCUCUCUGCAGCCAAAGCAGGGUCCUAGCUGCUCUGUCCAGUCCUCCCGUGCCUCACACCUCUCUUCUGUCUCAUUCUUUCUCCCUCCUAUUCAACUGUUAUCUGGUGUGUUGGCAUUGGUGGUGUUGUUGAUGAUGAGCUGAAACUUUGUGGAUUAAAAUAUCUGUAGAUGUUUAUUUUAGUUAGAGAGCCACUAAAUCCAUACAGUAUAUCAUUUGAUGGUGUGAUUGGUGGACCCAGAAACUGGCA